rnacentral:lncRNA from 1 species
ACGUGGAUGACACUGUCAGGGAACAGCAAGCUUUUAGGUCACAAAAGUAAAAAUGUACCUGAGGAAGAAAAAGAGUAAGGAGGAGAAAUACACGAGAUAGGAAACCAAGGGGUCACUGCUGGGGAGGCGCCGUGACCCACGAGAGAAAGGUUCAGGGCACUGUUUCCGGUGAGGAGACAUGCUUGCCACAGCGAAAGCAUGGGGGUCAGAGGGCAACUUCCAGGGCUCUGCUCUCUGAUCUUGCAGCUCCACCCUCGGAGCCAACUCCGUGGCCGAUAUUCCAAGCUUCAACCUGCUUCAGAGCCGCCUGUCAGGGAUUCUCUGCCCUCACCUUCCAUGUGGUCUUACGUAGGUUGUGUGCAUCCCACAUGUAGCUUUGAAGAUGCAUGCGGCCAGCCACAAACCCCCAAAGCCCUUGCUGCCCUCUGUCCUCCCUGGAAGGUGAUCCACCACUUGGAACAACCCAUGCCGGCCUCUUCCAGCUGCGGUUCUCACCACUGAGCUGUCGGUAACCCCCAAGUCCAUUUAGAGCAUUGAUUGUGACUGAUUCCAUGCCUUAAUUAAACAU